rnacentral:rRNA from 1 species
CUGGUUGAUCCUGCCAGUAGUCAUAUGCUUGUCUCAAAGACUAAGCCAUGCAUGUCUAAGUAUGAAUGUUAUACAGUGAAACUGCGAAUGGCUCAUUAAAACAGUUAUUGUUUAUUUGAUAAUCAAGUUUACAUGGAUAACCGUGGUAAUUCUAGAGCUAAUACAUGCUGAUAUGCCUGACUCUUAGGAAGGGCUGUAUUUAUUAGAUAACAAACCAAUAUUCCUCGUGUCUAUUGUGAUGACUCAUAAUAACUGAUCGAAUCGCAUGGACUUUGUCCGCGAUACAUCAUUCAAGUUUCUGCCCCAUCAGCUUUCGAUGGUAGUGUAUUGGACUACCAUGGCUUUAACGGGUAACGGAGGAUUAGGGUUCGAUUCCGGAGAGGGAGCCUGAGAAACGGCUACCACAUCUAAGGAAGGCAGCAGGCGCGUAAAUUACCCAAUCCUAAUUCAGGGAGGUAGUGACAAGGAAUAACGGACUGAGGCCUACGCUUCAGGAUUGCAAUGAGUAGAAUUUAAACCCCUUUGCGAGGAUCAAUUGGAGGGCAAGUCUGGUA